rnacentral:misc_RNA from 1 species
GAUUGGUGCACCAGAUUCCCGUGGCGUCCACUGCUUUACACACUCAAGUUUCGUAGUUUCGUAUAUUGCAAUCUGAGUCUCGUGCACGACCAGAAAGUGAACCUGGUCCUGAUGAAACUGUACACGAGUGUCGGAUUGUGAGGAUGGUGGUCUACCACUUGGAAGUUGCAAGAAUCUUGUUUUCUGCUUCUCCCACCCAUCAGAGCUCCACACACAAAGCUGUGCAUCAGCUCCGGAUGAAACUAGCACGUUCAGUAAGUGAGAGAAGGCCAAACCAGUUAUUCUUUUAGAGUGGCCUUUAAGCUUG